ensembl:lncRNA
UAUAUAUUUAGGGUGGUCAGUGACGUUUAGAAAUUUAUUCCUCCAGUUUUGGUUAAGAUUUCCAAACAAAGUUAAAUUUCACUUUCUAUUGCUUUUGUGUAAUUGUGUCUCCUAUUUGUGUCGACAAUUUUAGAGUCAACCUGAAAAAUUAACAAUUUUCUGAGCAUUGUAGAUGAAAAAUAGAAACUAAGCUUAUAUGUUAAUUAGAUACAUGAAAAUAUUGUCAUAUCUAUGUUUUAAAAUAUAUGCAGGAUCUCUUGUUAAAUUCUCCUAAGGCUCUCUUUGUCACUGGAGAAAGAGAAGAUAAAUUUGUAGAAGGUGACCAAGAGAUAACAAGAGUUCAAGGACACAAAGGUUGUUUUCCCACCCCUAUUUGAGGGAUAAGACUCUGGGAGGAUUGAAAUGGAGAAUCAAAGCAUCAUUUUAUCUGGACUCCAAAAACAGAAAUUUGAAAAUAAAAGACCAAGAUUUUAAAAAUAGAUAAAUGAAAGGACAACGAUGUCAUUUCUAAUUCUUUAGCUGGUCAUCCUCCCUCAAAGUUGUUCUGAAUGGAGACACUUUCAGAGGAACUGACAUAGAAAUACUGUGGAUGUGCCUCUAUCACCUUUCUUCAAGCAGAACCUAGAUGCAGCUGUUUGGAAAGGAAACUACUCUAAGAACAGUAAUACAGUGUACUCAACCUAUUUUUCAUCUGGCAGUGCUGAUUCCUACAACAGUGCACAGUGUGCAGCCAACCCCAGCCAAUGUUACUUGUCUCCAAUAAACAUCAAGCAUACCCAGAAUGAUCA